rnacentral:rRNA from 1 species
GACAUCCAGAGAAUUUAGCAGAGAUGCUUUAGUGCCUUCGGGAACUCUGAGACAGGUGCUGCAUGGCUGUCGUCAGCUCGUGUUGUGAAAUGUUGGGUUAAGUCCGCAACGAGCGCAACCCUUAUCCUUUGUUGCCAGCACGUAAUGGUGGGAACUCAAAGGAGACUGCCGGUGAUAAACCGGAGGAAGGUGGGGAUGACGUCAAGUCAUCAUGGCCCUUACGAGUAGGGCUACACACGUGCUACAAUGGCGCAUACAAAGAGAAGCGACCUCGCGAGAGCAAGCGGACCUCAUAAAGUGCGUCGUAGUCCGGAUUGGAGUCUGCAACUCGACUCCAUGAAGUCGGAACCGCUAGUAAUCGUAAAUCAGAAUGUUACGGUGAAUACGUUCCCGGGCCUUGUACACACCGCCCGUCACACCAUGGGAGUGGGUUGCAAAAGAAGUAGAUAGCUUAACCUUCGGGAGGGCGUUUACCACUUUGUGAUUCAUGACUGGGGUGAAGUCGUAACAAGGUAAGCGUAGUGCU